AUUUUCACUGAUUUUAUCUAUGGUUUAGGGUUAGGAUUUUGAGUCUUUAUGUUAUUUCUCGAGUCUUUUUAGUGUCUUUUCAGGUAUUCCAUGCAACGGGACAACAAUAGGGACGAGGAGACAUUUUGGAGCAAAAGCUAAAGAAAAGGAAGCUAAGGACGAUUUUAGAUUCAGGAAUCAGAGAGAGUGUCGAUCGACACACUCUUCAUGUCGAUCGACACAAGUUUCGGUCCAGAAAAGUCCAAGACGCUUUCAAGUUUACAAAAGAGGAAAUUUGCCCCAGAAGACUUUCCUAUUUGUAUUAUUAGUCCGUGGACGUUUUAUAGG
rnacentral:sRNA from 1 species